rnacentral:rRNA from 1 species
GACGAACGCUGGCGGCGUGCUUAACACAUGCAAGUCGAACGGAAAGGCCCCUUUGGGGGUACUCGAGUGGCGAACGGGUGAGUAACACGUGAGUAACCUGCCCUUGACUUCGGGAUAACUUCAGGAAACUGGGGCUAAUACCGGAUAGGAAUCCUUGCUGCAUGGUGGGGGUUGGAAAGCUUCGGCGGUUUUGGAUGGACUCGCGGCUUAUCAGCUUGUUGGUGGGGUAGUGGCUUACCAAGGCGUUGACGGGUAGCCGGCCUGAGAGGGCGACCGGCCACAUUGGGACUGAGAUACGGCCCAGACGCCUACGGGAGGCAGCAGUGGGGAAGAUUGCACAAUGGGCGGAAGCCUGAUGCAGCAACGCCGCGUGCGGGAUGACGGCCUUCGGGUUGUAAACCGCUUUCAGCAGGGGCGAAGCUUGUGGUGACGGUACCUGCAGAAGAAGCACCGGCUAACUACGUG